rnacentral:rRNA from 1 species
AGAAUCAACGCUGGCGGCGUGCCUAACACAUGCAAGUCGCACGAGAAAGGGACUUCGGUCCUGAGUACAGUGGCGCACGGGUGAGUAACACGUGAAUAAUCUACCUCCGAGUGGGGAAUAACUGAGAGAAAUCUUAGCUAAUACCGCAUAACACUUACGAGUCAAAGCAGCAAUGCGCUUGGAGAGGAGUUCGCGGCAGAUUAGUUAGUUGGCGGGGUAAUGGCCCACCAAGACGAUGAUCUGUAUCCGGCCUGAGAGGGCGCACGGACACACUGGAACUGAAACACGGUCCAGACUCCUACGGGAGGCAGCAGUGGGGAAUUUUGCGCAAUGGGGGAAACCCUGACGCAGCAACGCCGCGUGGAGGAUGAAAUAUCUUGGUAUGUAAACUCCUUUCGAUGGGGAAGAUAAUGACGGUACCAUAGAAGAAGCCCGGCUAACUCGUGCCAGCAGCCGC